CGUGGGUAAUUUGCCGUAAAGUCUGGGAUAACUUGCUGAAAGGCGAGCUAAUACCGGAUGUGAUUGCUGGAGGGCAUCCUCUGGCACUUAAAGUCGGGGACCGUAAGGCCUGACGCUUUUCGAUAAGCCCGCGGCCUAUCAGCUAGUUGGUGAGGUAACGGCUCACCAAGGCUAAGACGGGUAGCUGGUCUGAGAGGACGACCAGCCUCACUGGAACUGAGACACGGUCCAGACACCUACGGGUGGCAGCAGUCGAGAAUUUUUCUCAAUGGGGGAAACCCUGAAGGAGCGACGCCGCGUGGGGGAUGAAUGGCUUCGGCCCGUAAACCCCUGUCAUUUGCGAUCAAACCUUACGACCUAACACGUUGUAAGCUGAUAGUAGCGAAAGAGGAAGGGACGGCUAACUCUGUGCCAGCAGCCGCGGUAAUACAGAGGUCCCAAGCGUUGUUCGGAUUCACUGGGCGUAAAGGGUGCGUAGGCGGUCGGGUAAGUCUGACGUGAAAUCUUCAAGCUCAACUUGGAAACUGCGUCGGAUACUAUUCGGCUAGAGGAAUGGAGGGGAGACUGGAAUACUUGGUGUAGCAGUGAAAUGCGUAGAUAUCGAGUGGAACACCAGUGGCGAAGGCGAGUCUCUGGACAUUUCCUGACGCUGAGGCACGAAAGCCAGGGGAGCAAACGGGAUUAGAUACCCCGAUAGUCCUGGCCCUAAACGGUGCACGUUUGCUGUAAGAGGAAUCGACCCCUUUUGUGGCGAAGCUAACGCGUUAAACGUGCCGCCUGGGAAGUACGGCCGCAAGGUUAAAACUCAAAGAAAUUGACGGGGGCCUGCACAAGCGGUGGAGUAUGUG
rnacentral:rRNA from 1 species